CAGUAGCCACGGUAAUACGAAGGGGGCUAGCGUUGUUCGGAAUUACUGGGCGUAAAGCGCACGUAGGCGGACAUUUAAGUCAGGGGUGAAAUCCCGGGGCUCAACCCCGGAACUGCCUUUGAUACUGGGUGUCUAGAGUAUGGAAGAGGUGAGUGGAAUUCCGAGUGUAGAGGUGAAAUUCGUAGAUAUUCGGAGGAACACCAGUGGCGAAGGCGGCUCACUGGUCCAUUACUGACGCUGAGGUGCGAAAGCGUGGGGAGCAAACAGGAUUAGAUACCCGAGUAGUCCCUGUCUCUUAUAC
rnacentral:rRNA from 1 species